GACGAACGCUGGCGGCGUGCUUAACACAUGCAAGUCGAACGGAAAGGCCCUGCUUGCAGGGUACUCGAGUGGCGAACGGGUGAGUAACACGUGGGUGAUCUGCCCUGCACUUCUGGAUAAGCCUGGGAAACUGGGUCUAAUACCGGAUAGGAGCCAUUUUUAGUGUGAUGGUUGGAAAGUUUUUUCGGUGUAGGGUGAGCUCGCGGCCUAUCAGCUUGUUGGUGGGGUAAUGGCCUACCAAGGCGGCGACGGGUAGCCGGGCUGGGAGGGUGGACGGCCACAUUGGGAAUGAGGUACGGCCCAGACUCCUACGGGAGGCAGCAGUGGGGAAUAUUGCACAAUGGGCGCAAGCCUGAUGCAGCGACGCCGCGUGGGGGAUGACGGCCUUCGGGUUGUAAACUCCUUUCGCUAGGGACGAAGCUUUUUGUGACGGUACCUAGAUAAGAAGCACCGGCUAACUACGUG
rnacentral:rRNA from 1 species